CAUGAUGAACCAAUUCAGUUCUGCUUCUGACAUUAUUUGAAGAUAACAUACC
rnacentral:snoRNA from 11 species